AAGAAAGAGGUUUAGUGUCCAUUCUAUCCUGUGCUAUAGAUAGAGUUACUGAGGGAGGUAUUAGUAACUCAGGGUGAAGUAGCAAGUGUCCAUUCUAUCCUGUGCUAAAGAGAGUUAGCGAGGGAUAAGAAAGCGAGGUAUAACAUUAUGUCUUUGGUACACAUGGCUUCUUUUAUUGAUAGCGAUAUACAGAAGUGUCUAACGAGAGUUUACAGAAUACUCGCUAAAUGGCGCUAGUGUUGUGGAGUGCUGGUGGAGGGAGGAAGGGGGAAGAGGAGACGAGAGAAAGGAAGGGAGAGAGUGAGAGAGGAGAGAGAAUGGAAGAAAGGGAGUAUUGGAAAGGAAAUUAAGGGAAGAAGGUUGAUAGAGGAGAAAGUGAGAGAGGAAAGGAUGCAAGAAAGGAGGUGAGAAAAGAAAUUAAGGAGAAAAACGGGAGAAAGGAGAGAAGAAGAAGAGAGAGAGGAGAGGAGAGAAACAGAAGGAAGUACAGAGAGGAAUUAAAAAGGAAGAAGAGAGAGAGAGAGAGAGGAAUGAAGGACAGGAAGAAAAUGCAGAUAAGAAAAUAACGAAGAAGGGAGGAAAUAAAAUGAGAUACAGAGAAAGAAAGGAAGGAAGGAAAGGAAAUAAUGAAUAAAGAAAGGAAAGAAGAGAAUGAAAAGAGGUAUAACAGAAUGAAUGAAGGACGAAAGGCUUAUAGAGAUGAAGGAAGGUUGGAAAGAUGGAAGAGAAUGAGGAAAAGAAGGAAGGAAGGAAGGAAGGAAGGAAGGAAGGAAGGAGAUGGGUCUUUUUUGAGAUAGAACUCGUGAAUCACAAUGAAGGAACUGAAUAACACACACACACACACACACACACACACACACACACACACACACACACACACACACACACACACACACACACACACACACACACACACACAGUAACAUCAUUAUUUUAUUAUGUAUUUAUCAGUCAUUCAACAUCACAAUUACAAUAUAUUUUUUUUUUACAAACAAUAGUUAUUCACUUCCCUUAUGAUUAUUUCUAUUUUUUUCCUUUUUUCGUAUCAUUUUCUUAUUUUGUCUUCUAAUUACUUUUUCAUGUUAUUUACGUGUUUUUUUUUUGUCAUUUGUCAUUCAUAAUUUUACGCUUUCCUUUUCUUUCUUUUCUUUUCUUUUUUGGUUCUAUUUCACAUUUUAUUCAAUUAUUUGGUAACACAUUUUUCUUCUCAUUAUUUUUCAUGUCUUAAUUCUUUUGUUUUCCGUAUUAUUCAUUGUUAUUUUUUUUUUCAAUACGCGUUCGUCACUGAUUUGAUUUGAUUUUAGUUUUUCUCUAAUUUAUUUUCUUGGUCAUUAUCAUAUUUACAAGUCUAUUUAAUUUCUCUCAUUUCUAUUACAUUCGUUCAAGUUCAUCACCCACCCCAUAUUUUCUUCCCCACACACAAUUUUCUUUUCUGUUAGUUUUUCUCUAAUUAUUUUCUUGGUCACAAUCAUAUUUACAAGUCUAUCCAAACCAAAUUUUCGUCUAUAUAAUUUCUCUCAUUUCUAUUAUAUUCCUACAAGUUUAUCACCCACUACAUACUUAUUUUCUUCCUCACACACAAAAUAAUGCCAUCAGUACAUGUAAGAGUUCCUCCUAUAUAUAUUUUUCACACGUUUUUAACAUAAUAAUUUCUAAGUACUCUUUCACACUACCACGAAUUUCUUGCCCAACACAUCUUUUCACUUCACCCAAAACAAACAAAAACAUCAACAGUACAUUACACAGUAGAUAUCACCACUUAAAUAUAUCUUUUUUUACACGCUUUUUCACCUAAGUUCUUUUACAAUCUCUCUUAAGGUUUUCUAUUAGAUUCAAGCAACCUAUUUACUCGGUGCAUCUUUUCUCUUAACACACACACACAUACAAAACCCACCAACAGUACAUUAAGAGUUCGUCAUAUAUAUAUUUUUUCAAACGCCCUUUCAUAUAAACGAAAUAUAAUGUUUUUAGUUUUUCUCUUUCAAAUUCCUACGUUUCUUAUCGACAUCUUUUCUUUCUUUUCACGACAAUAUAAUAAUUUUUUUUAGACUCCUUUCAACAUAAAUUCUAAUAAUAUCUUUAAGUUUUCAAUCACAUUCGCAUAGUCCGCCUUUAAAUACAGUUGAUAUAUAUAUUUUUUUCCUGCUCUCUCUCUCUCUCUCUCUCUCUCUCUCUCUCUCUCUCUCUCUCUCUCUCUCUCUCUCUCUCUCUCUCUACAACGCACUCAGUCAUUACACUUUAUAUAUGUUUUUCAUGCACUUUCUCUCUCUAUACAAGGACAAACUCAACACACACACACACACACACACACACACACACACACACACACGAUAUAUAUUAACAACAUCCACUUCGUUAUCGUCUCCUUCAACAUCGUAGUAACAUCACCAACAGUCAGGCGAGACACAUACAACAGCGAUAUAUAUUAUUAUUAUGCAUUUAUUUAUUUAUUUAUUUAUUUAUGCUAGUUAGUGGUGGUGGUGGUGGAUAGUGUUGUUUUUUUGUUUUUCUUGUUUAUUUAUUAGUUUACGAUUAUAGUUUUUCGUUUUUCCAUUUUUUUCUGUUUUCAAUAUUAUUGUUCUAUUUUUUCCAUAUUUAUUGUGAUUUCCUCUAAUCAUUCUUUGUUUUUUCCCAUUUUUCACUUGUUUGCUAAGUUACAUAUGCUUUUUUUUUCUACUUCUUUCUAUAUCCAGUUAUUUUUUCUAAGUAGGCUAUACUCGAUGUUCCACUUUCUUCUACGACCACUUUUGUUGUUGUUAAGUUACACUCGUUUCUUUUCCAUUUCCUUCGUAUUUCUCGGUUUCUGACUCACAAGUGUAUACAAUAAACAUCGAUACUCUACGGUUUCACCACUAACUACAAAUCGAUAUCGUUAGUGGUGUGGGUACGACAGUUUUUGGGCCUGAAGCUUAUAUAUGUUUCUUGUAUUACUGCAAAUCACGCCAUGUUCCUCCCUUCUCCUUUGUUGCGUACUUUUGCAACAAUAAACCAUCAAUCAAUCAAUGUACGACAAUCUGGUAAGGCGGAAACCGAGGCGUCCAUUGCGCAUGCGUGGGUGUGACGCAACGUUGCAUUAUGUCGUACUCAGCCCCUUGUAGGAUAUAGGCUACCGAUUUUCAACCCAAAAACUAUCUCCUCCACCCCAAUAACGAGAUUCAUUUAGAGUUUUCUUUAAAAUCGUUAAUUACUGAUGAUUUUGGGCAAUGAUUAUGAGUCAGAAGCCGGAAACUACGAUGCUUUGAGUAUGAUAAUCUGUCAACGCGGGUGUGGAAGUGCGCGGGUGAGAUGGCGGCGGGCGGGUCUCAUGCGGUUGGUUCCUUGCGUAAUGUGCUUAUUUUCUCGCUUUUAGUGCUCGUUCGCGUGACUCCAAGUGCCCGCAGAGGAUGUCAACGCCCCCACGGUAAGUUCAGGCAUCUUUACCGUCCAUUAUAUCAUUAGUAUUGCCUUGAUUACCGUAGAUAUCAGAGGAUGAAGACGUGAGAAGGGCUUAUUGUUUUGAAGCCUUGCGGAGUGCCACCCAAACUCACCCCAACACACACACAUAAGAACACUGGCUCCUUAGGGGUUUUGGGUGAGGAUUAAGAGGUUUUGAGGCCGUCACACACACGUACACGGCUUCUAGCUCAUGUACGCACUCGGAAACCCGUGUAGGUAUGGAGAUAUAUGUGUACACGGGGCCCAGAUAGCUUGUGGUGGAUUGUUGGUUGACUUCGAUGGUUGUUAUUGCUUUAUGUUGUCGAUAUUUUUUUUUUCUUAUUUCUUCUUUAACUCUUUUCUUCGAUAUUCUUGUAUAUAUUUGUCUUGUUAUUCGAGUGCUUUUUCAAUACAUGUUUGUUAUUCAUAAUUUUAAGCUUUUUGAUAUUUUUUUAACGUUUCAAUUAUAUGUUAGUCCAUGAAUUUAUUUCCUUCGAUAUUCUUGUUUAUAUUUGUCUUGUUAUUCGAGUGGUUUCUCAAUACAUGUUUGUUAUUCAUAAUUUUAAGCUUUUUGAUAUUUUUUAACGUUUCAAUUAUAUGUUAGUCCAUUAAUUUUUUUUUCUUCGAUAUUCUUGUAUAUAUUUGUCUUGUUAUUCGAGUGGUUUCUCAAUAUAUGUUUGUUAUUCAUAAUUUUAAGCUUUUUGAUAUUUUUUUACGUUUUAAUUAUAUAUAAAUCCUUUUGCGUCGAUAGAUGGUCCAGUUUUCCAUCGUAUUCAGUUUGUCAUCGUAAGUUCAUUUUCAUUUCAUUAAACAUCACUGGUUUAAAUGCUCUUUCUUGGCGUAUUUUUUUCCUUUUUUUUGCGUUCAAGGUUUGUAUUGCUUCAUAAUGUUGUGUUACCUCGUUUUCUGCUUUCAUAUUCAUUAUUCACAUUCGUUAUUCAUUAUAUCGUUAGGCAUCACUGUGGAGCGUUCUGGGUCUGUGCGUUCAAUAGUUGUUUGGGGGUUGAGAAUUCAUAUCGCUUUUUUCCUCGUUAAGCAUCAUGUUUCCUCGUUUUUCGUCUAUUUCCUUUCGUUAAACAUCACUUAAACGUUCCUCCUGCUUUCCGCGUAUGUGAGUGUGUGUUUUUAAGUCUUUUCUGAGCAGCAUGAGCAAACAAACACACACAAACACACACACAGUAGCUACAGGCCGUUUGGGAAGUGAAGCGAGUUUUUAUUUAAUUUCAUUCACUCGUUUUUUUUUCUGAAUUUCUGCUUCGUUUCCGUUUCUCAUUUAGUUGUUCCACGUUCUGUAGUAAAACGUUCCUGCUUCUUAUAGUAUAUGUAUGUGGGGUUGGUCAACGUUUUUUCUGGGUAAUAUAACGUAAACACUGUACACACAACGUUUAUAUAAGGAAAUAAGAGUUAGUAGGCUAGUCGUCUUUUCGCUCUGAGGGCCGACUGAGACACCAACUCCGCCUCGAGCCACACUAUGAAGCCUAUUCGUCCCUAUUCGCUAUUUUUCUCAUUAAAUAAACAGCACAUAUAAUUAUUCUCACCAUCUUCCUCCAUUACCACUUAUAUAGUAUACGUAAAGCACCACCUGACAGUCGCUUAAAACCGUGUUCAUAUGUAGCUUUUAUUCCACGUAUAUUAUCAUUAUUAUCGUAACACUGGCAGAUAGGGAAUAAGAGGAGGAGGACGCAAGAAGAGGAAGAGGAGGAGUCAAAGAAAACGGAGAGCUCACAAGGGAGACUUCAACAAACAGGCUAGAGGAGGAGGAGGAAGUGCAGUGCGUAGGGAUAUGUUGACUUGACUUGCUGACUUGCUGAGCUGAUGAGGUGCAUUGCCGGACCGAGGGCUGAUUUGUGGGGUGAGGGAAGGAGGCUGCUGAGGCGCUGACGUGGAAGGAAGGUGCUGAGUUUCUUGCUGUCGUGUGGAAAAAAGGAAGAAAGGGAAGGAAAGGAAUGAGAAGGAAGGAAUAGGAAAGAAAAGAGAAAGGGAGAAUAUAGCCUAGAUAAAGGAGAGAUUGGAAGAAAAGGAAGAAAAGGAAGGGAAGAAAAAGGAUGGUACAGAGGUUAAGAGAGAGAGAAAAGGAAAUUAGAUAAGAGGAAGAUAGAAAGAAAGGGAAGGAA